rnacentral:rRNA from 1 species
AUGAACGUUGGCGGUGCGCCUAAUACAUGCAAGUCGAACGGAGACAGUAGCAAUAUUGUUUUAGUGGCGAACGGGUGAGUAACGCGUUGGUGAUCUGCCUCGAAGUGUGGAAUAACGUUCCGAAAGGAGCACUAAUACCGCAUGGUCUUCCGGUUUUUAGAAAACUGGAAGUAAAGGAGUAAUUCGCUUCGGGAGGGGCCUGCGUACCAUCAGCUAGUUGGUAGGGUAAUGGCCUACCAAGGCUAUGACGGUUAGGGGACCUGAGAGGGUGGCCCCACACAAUGGAACUGAAACACGGUCCAUACACCUACGGGUGGCAGCAGUAGGGAAUAUUGGUUAAUCUGCGAAAGCGGGAACCAGCAACGCCGCGUGCACGAUGAAGGCCUUCGGGUCGUAAAGUGCUUUUUGAGAGGAUGAGGAAGGACAGUACUCUUAGAAUAAGCUUCGGCUAACUACGU